rnacentral:rRNA from 1 species
AACGAACGCUGGCGGCAGGCCUAACACAUGCAAGUCGAACGCGAACGCACCUUCGGGUGUUAUUAGAGUGGCAGACGGGUGAGUAACGCGUGGGUAUCUACCUAGUGGUAAGGAAUAACUCAGGGAAACCUGGGCUAAUACCUUAUAAGCCCUUCGGGGGAAAGAUUUAUCGCCAUUAGAUGAGCCCGCGUCGGAUUAGCUAGUUGGUGGGGUAAAAGCCUACCAAGGCGACGAUCCGUAGCUGGUCUGAGAGGAUGAUCAGCCACACUGGGACUGAGACACGGCCCAGACUCCUACGGGAGGCAGCAGUGGGGAAUAUUGGACAAUGGGCGCAAGCCUGAUCCAGCCAUGCCGCGUGAGUGAUGAAGGCCUUAGGGUUGUAAAACUCUUUCACCGGUGAAGAUAAUGACGGUAGCCGGAGAAGAAGCCCCGGCUAACUCCGUGCCAGCCGCCGCCGUAACAC